AACGAACGCUGGCGGCGCGCCUAAUACAUGCAAGUCGAGCGAGAAGGCGUAGCAAUACGUUUGUAAAGCGGCGAACGGGUGAGGAAUACAUGGGUAACCUACCCUCGAGUGGGGAAUAACUAGCCGAAAGGUUAGCUAAUACCGCGUACGCUCCUUGGACUUCGGUUCAGGGAGGAAAGCGAUACCGCGGGUAUCGCGCUCUUGGAGUGGGCUCAUGUCCUAUCAGCUUGUUGGUGAGGUAACGGCUCACCAAGGCUUCGACGGUAGCUGGUCUGAGAGGACGAGUCAGCCACAC
rnacentral:rRNA from 1 species